GACAGAGGGGGCAAGCGUUGCUCGGAAUCACUGGGCGUAAAGGGCGCGUAGGCGGGAUGGCAAGUCAGUCGUGAAAUCUCUCGGCUCAACCGAGAAACGUCGGCUGAUACUGCCGUUCUUGAGGGAUGCAGAGGAGACUGGAAUUCCCGGUGUAGCGGUGAAAUGUGUAGAGAUCGGGAGGAACACCGGUGGCGAAGGCGGGUCUCUGGGCAUCUCCUGACGCUGAGGCGCGAAAGCGUGGGGAGCGAACAGG
rnacentral:rRNA from 1 species